rnacentral:lncRNA from 1 species
GUGAACACUACACAUGUCACUGUCUCCUUCUAAGAGACCACGUUGACAGGUGUGAACUUUCUAGGCAGCCACUUGCUUUAACCCCUGUCUGAAAUUCAAUUGAAAGCCAAUGUACAUCCAAAUUUUAGUCAUACUUCAAAGUGAUCCCCCAACUUUAUUAGGGGGAAAAGCCAAAUUCCAUCCUUCUCUGGUCACAACCAGGUAUGAGUUUACAAAGAGUAAAUACACCUUGGCUUCAAACCAAGAAUAAUCUGGUUCACCUGAUGUUACACAGCACAGAUUCCUGGAGGCAGAAGGACCUUGCAGGUCACUUUAUAGAUGAGGACACCAGCCAAGCACAGGAUGGAGUUGUUUCCUGAAGUUCCCUGAUCUGUCUAAAGUCUGGACCUGACAAAGAAGAAAACAGUCACCUCCGGUUCCUUCCCUGAGUUUUUGUUAAUUGAAUUCAUGUCGCAGGAAGAAAGACUGAAGUCUUUCAACUCACCUGGACAGACUUUUGUCUCAAAUCAUUGUCUACUCUGCAGGCCCAAUAAACUUUGUCUCAGGCCACUGUGUGUUCUUUAAGACCACUGAAUUCCGCUAAAAAUCAUUUACUACCCCCACUUUCCCCUAAGAAGAAGGUAUGCAGCCAUUUCUACCCCACUGCCUGACGGGGAGAUCACUCUGUGGCCCUGCCCCGUGCGUGAUAACACAUUUGCAUGUCAUUCCUCCUGUUAACCUGUCUUUUGUCAGUUGAUCUUCAGUGAACCUUCAGAGGGCAAGGGGGAUGUUCUUCCUUGUCCCCUAUACUUGCGAUGCUGAAAAGUGGACCUACUGUAUUCUGUACAGCCUUAGUUUACAUAAUUGUUACCCUUUUGAUGAUCUCUUGUUUUCAGUUUCUAGCUAUUAUCAAAAAAAUACUUUAUUGCUAACCUCUUUUCUACAAAACUCAGCUUCUGAUGAUGUGCCCCCACCAACCAGAAAGGAGCUCUACUCCACCCUCAGCCUCCCAGGAGUUGACAGACAACUCCUUCCUUCCAGAUUGUUCAGGUCAAAAACGCAGGAGUCAGCCUUGAUUCCCAGUGAUUCACAUGGUGGAAAAUCAUGCGGGUUCUACUUUCGAAACACUUGCAGAAAGAUACGGAAAC